rnacentral:lncRNA from 1 species
UCCAGCAGCAGAACAAAUCUUCUCAGCACCUCCGCUUGUGCAGCAUCGCAGAGCACCAUCCAUUUUUGCAAAUUCCCUUUUAACUUGGCAAGGCCGCAUCCCAGACCCCUCCAUGAACGUCCCUGGAAGCAAAAAAACGUUUCUCAAUGUCCAAAUACUCCAGAAGGAAGCAGCAGUGACCAUAUUAAGCAUAAUUCUUUUCUUUUUUACUUUCCACAUGGAAGAUAUAUCAUCAAAACAUUAAAUCUUUCUUAUCAUAAAAAACUCAGAAACAAUAGACCAAAUAUGCUCAGCGUUGAUACAAUCAAAAAUUAGGUGUUGUACAGAUUCCAUUUCACUACAAAACAGGCAAGUUAAGUCAUCCACAUUUUUCCUCUUAGCUACAUUGUCUCUAGUCAGAAUUUUGUUAUACAAACACAGCCAGAGAAAAACAUGAAUGUUCUGGGGGCAAAGAACCUUCCAUAAGGUAUCUCCAUAAGGAGAGCUCACCCCACCAAAAUUGAUGCACUUGUAAAAUGAUCUAACUGAGUAACAACCAUUAUGCUCUAGUACCCAUACAGGUAAAUCGGUAUUAUUAGAUAAGGGAAAUUUUUUAAUAUGUUCAAUGAGAUUUUCCCACUUAUUCAUCAAAUCUAGGUCUACACAUCUUCUAAAAGUGAGCCUGAGAUUAUUUCCCAUCCCAAACGUGGGACACCACACACUCUUGUUGAUUACAAAUUUCAAACAAGCCCCAAAAUCUGACUUUAAGGGAACAAUCCCCAGCCCACUUAUCAUGCCAAAGUCUAAUAUUACUACCAUUACCAAUCUUCCAAUCAUAGAAAGUUAUGGCAGCUUGGAGAGCCCAAGAAAUACUCUUCCAUAAGGGGGAUCCCCCUUGUUGCCUAGACCAAAAGAUAUUUGGACUAUCAACAUUAUAUUUAAAUACAAGUAGUUUCUUCCAGUCACUCACACUAUUGUUAUAAAACCUAUUCCCCCAGGAGGCCAACAAUGCCAUAUUGUACUCCUUAAUAUUUGGUAUACCAAACCACCAAAUUCCUUCUUCCUAGAAACCAGCCCCCAAUGAGCCAAAUGAUACUUGUGCUGGUCUCCCAUGUUUCCCCCACAGGAAAUGAGCCAUCUGAGAGUUGAUAGCAUUAAUGGCCCAUUUAGGGAAUUUCAAUACUGCCAUCAAGUAAGCAGGAAUACUAACCACACAUGCACAAAGCAGGAUAAUCUUCCCCUUAUAUGUAAGAUAUCUACCCAGCCACCCAGAAAUGCCCUUGAUAAUCCUAUCAAUGAUAGGUUGGAGAUCCUCUCUUGUCAAUUAUCAUAAUGCAGGGGCACCCCCAAAUACUUAAUGGGGAAGGAACCCAUGUUACAGCAGAAAAUCUGGGCAAAUAUUAUUGCUCUCUCUUCAUUCACAUUUAUGGUAAUAAGAUCACUUUUAUGGAAAUUCAUUUUCAUACCAGAAAUACUUUCAAAACAUGUCAAAAUCCAUUUAAAGUUUUUUGCUUUCUCAUAGGAAUCCUCCAAAAAGAGGAGCGUAUCAUCUGCAUAUUGAAGACUAACAAUCCCUCCUGGAAUAACAUUAUUCAGCACUCCAGAGAUCAACCCCUGUCUACCAGCCUUAGUAAGCAUCUUCGUGAAUACAUCUGCUACCAGAUUAAAGAGAAUCGGGGAUAUAGGAUCCCCUUGUUUGAGACCUUUCCCCCCUACAAAGUAGGGACCCGUGGUAUCAUUAAUUCGGACACUAAUGGUCCCUUGGAACAAUAAUUUCUUAAUCCAGGAAAUCCAUUUAGAGACAAAACCUCGGGAUUCAAGCAUUUCAAACAAAAAUUCCCAACUAACUCGGUCAUAUGCUUUUUCAUAAUCCAGUUUGAGCACAAGCCCAGGAUUAUUGGUCUUUUUCACCUCAUGAAUCACUUCAUGAGCUAGUACCACACUCUCUAAAAUAUAUCUACCUUUAAUAAAGGCAGUCUGAUUAGGAGAAAUCAGCCUAUCACUAAUGGGGGACAGCCUAUUAGUUAAAACUUUAGAGAAAAUCUUAACAACACAAUUGCUCAGACUAAUAGGCCUAAAUUUCUUCAUAAUAUUGGCAUCAGGCUCUUUUGGAAUUAAAAUGAUCAAAGCAAAAUUUAGUCUAUGAAUGUCCAAAUUACCCUCCUCAAAGUCCCUAAGCAUUGCCAUAAAAUCAGCUUUGGUCAGAUCCCAAAAAUUUUGGUAAAACAGAAACGAGAGGCCAUCCGGCCCUGGGGCACCAUUGGCAUACGAGCCAAAAAUGGCUUCCUUCACCUCCGACUCCGAGAAGGUUUUUUGAAUAUUUUCAUUUUUAGAAAGGGUAAUUAAUUCAUCAUCCUCCCAAAAGGCAGGACCCAAAUGAAUACUGUGUCUGUCCUCAUAACCAAAUAUUUUUUUGUAAAAGGACGUCGCCACCUCCAGCAUUUCAUUAGAGGAAUAAACAGGACCAUGUUCACCAACAAGCUCAGAAAGAUGAUUUUUUUCUGUGCCGAUGAUUCGCUAAAGCAUUAUUUAUUUGGAUCUUUGCCACAAGGCAAUCUCCUCUUUCCUCAUAAUCUCUUCCAGUUCCAUUUUAAUAUCUUUCAUACGUUUAUUGUCAGCAUCCGUAACACGAUUGGUCUCAGCAAAGACAUCUAAAAUAUCAAAUUCCAUUAUAAGGUCCCUCUUCUUCUUUUUAACAACAACUUCGAUAUUAAUACUCCACCCCUUAAUCUUUUUCUAAGUCGUUUGGAUUUAGCAAUCCAAAUAUCAAUAGCAGAUCUGCCUAAAAUUGGGGCAUUCGACACUGCUUCGACAAUAUCUUUAAAGUCAGGUUGCUCCAGCCACCAUUUUUCAAAUCUGAACAAUUUAGGGGAGGUAACCCUCCGAGCCAUAGUAUCUAGCACUAGGGGGGUGUGGUCACUACCAAUUCUGGGUAAAGCCCUAAGAAUAGAUAGGGGAAACAUAGCAUCCCAAGAAGGGGAAACAAACACUCUAUCAAUAGUGGAAUAAAUGGGGUCCUCCUAGUUAUUACACUAGGUGUACUUCCUAUUUGCUACACUGAUUUCCAUCAGCCCCCACUUAUUGAUCCAAUCAUUAAACAGGAAAGAAGUGGAAUGAUUCACAUUACCAUUACUCUUAUCAGAGUCUGAUCUGGUUAGGUUAAAGUCCCCAACCAAAAUAAUUGGAUAGGAGGCUUUCUCCAUAACCUCAUGCAAAUCUGCAAUAAAAUCCAUCUUGCGUUCAUUAUAAGUAGUGCCAUAGAUAGCAACAAACUGCCAGAUAGAUUUAUCAGUUUUAUUCCUUACUGUAGCUAUUACACAGAACUCUUGAUUUACAAAACCAACAAUUUCAAAAAGAUCCCCAUUAAUUCCCACAAGGACACCACCAGAUGUACCUCGAGCAGGCAAUUGAUGCCACACGAAAUUCUUAUUAUCCGCAAUCCUAUAUAGCAACUUAUUGUCAAUGCUUUCCUUCUUGGUUUCAAAGAAACCCACAAAAUCCACAUUAUUAGUUCUCAAAAAAUCAUGUAGGUGUUGACUUUUUCCAGGUUGUCCUAGACCACGGAUAUUCCAAAAAGCUCAUAUCAUGAAAUUUUAAAAGGAUGGGAUAGGCUACAAAGCCUCCUAGCAUUAAUCGGGUUUGGACAUGUACCACUAGAUACAUCAACGCCUACUGCUCUGGUUUGUAUCAUGUCCUUACCACAGGGAGAACCCUUAGUAUUUUUAUUUAUAGGUGUAUAGAUGUCAUCAGGCAGUACAAUCUCAGGGUUGGAAUCUGCAAAUUCCAGACACCUAAGACUUUCCCUAAGGACCAAAUCCUGAAUGAUAUCCCCCUGUUCCUUAUCACUAUUUCCUAUGCAUAUAUCAACUCUAGCAAUUUGAUCAACAAGUAUUUGAGUAUCAUUAGCAGCAAAAGAUUUACCUUGGAAGGAAGCAGGAAUCUCCAGAUUCUUCUUCUGUAGGUAUGCAGUAGCGUUUUCCAUAAUCUUGAUAUUACCAUGUUGUCUUG